UCAAGUGAUACAACAAGUCUACUUGUGCUCAAGUGAAAUUUGCUUGAAACAAUUAAUUAAUUUGAAAUUAUUUCCUCAACAUAAAAUGCAGCGCAACCCAGCUUUCCCCUCUGCCAUGAGCUCCGGCUACAAGAGCUUCGCGCCCAGCCCCUGCUUCGGGCCUCCCAGAAACCAGUACAGCACUGGAAACUAUGCGCAGCCAACACAACCCUUCCAGCCUAACAACUGCUUCAUGACUGCAUCAGUGAUCCGGAAAAUGAGCAACACCACGCCCCCCAGUGGUUUCGGCAGAAAUUACUAAGUCUGUGGGAUAUUGCACACAUUUUACCUGGAAUCUCGAGUAAUUCGUUUCGGUUACCGUUUAGGUUAAGCAAUCUCACAUUAAUUAUUUAUAGAAUAAGUUUAAAGUGUUUAUUAUGUAAUAAUUUAUACCAGUUUGGAUUGGUUUCCAUGUUAAGCACUGGUUUAUUUGUAAUAUUAUUUGUAGGUGUUAAUUAAAUUAUUGAAGAAAAGAA